rnacentral:lncRNA from 1 species
AUUAAGGGUGAUUUCCGCAAUGGAAGAAGACAGGAAUCCUCGUCAGAUAUGCACGCAGAAAACAUCAUCAUACGAAAAACGGAACUGCAACUCAACUUUCUUCUUCACAAGCAGCAGCAAUAAAAAGUCAUUGGA